AGGAUAAACGCUGGCGGCGUGCCUAACACAUGCAAGUCGAACGCCCUUUUGUGCCGCAAGGUGGAAGAGGGAGUGGCGGACGGGUGAGGAACACGUGGGUGACCUACCUUUCAGUGAGGAAUACCGGCGAGAAAUCGCCGACAAGACCGCAUACGCUUCUCUGUUCAAUCGGGGAAGGAAAGCUUCACGAGAGUGAGGCGCUGGAAGAUGGGCCUGCGGCCGAUUAGCUAGCUGGUGGGGUAAUGGCCUACCAGGGCGACGAUCGGUAGCUGGUCUGAGAGGACGAUCAGCCACACUGGGACUGAGACACGGCCCAGACUCCUACGGGAGGCAGCAGUGGGGAAUAUUGGACAAUGGGCGCAAGCCUGAUCCAGCCAUGCCGCGUGGAUGAUGAAGGCCUUAGGGUUGUAAAGUCCUUUUAACGGGGAAGAUAAUGACGGUACCCGUAGAAUAAGCCCGGCUAACUUCGUGCCAGCAGCCGC
rnacentral:rRNA from 1 species